AUUGAACGCUGGUGGCAUGCCUUACACAUGCAAGUCGAACGGCAGCACGGGAGCAAUCCUGGUGGCGAGUGGCGAACGGGUGAGUAAUAUAUCGGAACGUGCCCAGUCGUGGGGAUAACGUAGCGAAAGCUACGCUAAUACCGCAUACGAUCUAUGGAUGAAAGCGGGGGAUCGCAAGACCUCGCGCGAUUGGAGCGGCCGAUAUCAGAUUAGGUAGUUGGUGAGGUAAAGGCUCACCAAGCCGACGAUCUGUAGCUGGUCUGAGAGGACGACCAGCCACACUGGGACUGAGACACGGCCCAGACUCCUACGGGAGGCAGCAGUGGGGAAUUUUGGACAAUGGGCGCAAGCCUGAUCCAGCAAUGCCGCGUGCAGGAUGAAGGCCU
rnacentral:rRNA from 1 species